UCACAGUUUGCACUGGCAGUCUUGCUAGAGUUCCCGACAUGACUCGCUGGCAACUAACAACAGGGGUUGCGCUCGUUAUAGGACUUAACCUGACACCUCACGGCACGAGCUGACGACAACCAUGCAGCACCUUGUAAAUUGUCCGAAGAAAAAACUGUUUCCAGUCCUGUCAAUCUACAUUUAAGCCUUGGUAAGGUUCCUCGCGUAUCAUCGAAUUAAACCACAUGCUCCACCGCUUGUGCGGGCCCCCGUCAAUUCCUUUGAGUUUCAUUCUUGCGAACGUACUCCCCAGGUGGGAUACUUAUCACUUUCGCUUAGCCACUCAGAUUGCUCCGAACAGCUAGUAUCCAUCGUUUACGGCGUGGACUAC
rnacentral:misc_RNA from 1 species